GAUAUCAGUGCAGAUUUUUUAUGCCUGUGUAAAUAGUGUAAAUUUACAUAGUUUCUGACAACUUAGCCAUCUCCAGAGUAAUGGUAAGAAACAGCUGACUUCCCGCAUGUGUGGGUUUAGAAAACCUAUGUGUAGUAUAUUCUACGAGAGUGCAACCAGCAUUACGCGUACUGGGUGUUUCUGUGUCCGAGAUGUCACUGUACCUUGAAAUGACCUAUUUUUAUGGUGCUAACAUACUAGUCAAGAUUUUAUAUAGACUUUAGGAUAUAUCAAAAGGCGUCUGUAAAGCUACGCUUGUGAUUGCACUGUCUCAAGGGUCUGCUAAGUUAUAAACCAGAAUAAAGCUUUUGCAAAUACAUAUGUUUUGCAGUGGUGUCAAGAUGGGCCCAUCAACCUUUGAUUACACGAUAUUCACGAUAGACCCAGAAUAUUAUUGCACAAGAAAGAAUCAAGAAAAAAGACAGUGCGGCUCAGGCGGAAUAUACGAAAAUUAUUGUCCCGGCGUAUCAAGACUAUGGUGCAAUUAUUACAACUACGUGUCGUUUCGGAAACGCCCUUGUGGCUGCAUAGAUGGAACGUGCAGGAAUAGGCACCUGGAAUGCGUGCCGUGUAAAGAAUGCGACAAUUGCACCCACAGAGGACAGGAGCUCUCAAGCGAUGACUACACGUACUUUAAUGACCCUUGUGAAAAAGCGAUUUGCUCCUUUAGGGUUGGCAUCGUUCACAGAUGUCCGAAUAACAAACCAGCGUCAUACAGCAGCUGCGUGACCAAACGUCGAACUGGACGUUACCCAACGUGCUGUCAGUGGGUGACAACCUGUUAGAUACAACUAAGACGAUUUCUCUUCGCUCGCUUGUAGGUUACACGUAUCUCUGUUCGCGCCCUGUAGAGUUCCACAAUUUUGUGGAUGAAGAACUAAUAAACAGUUUCUGUUUUAUUUCAA